AACACGUGGGUAACCUGCCCAUAAGACUGGGAUAACUCCGGGAAACCGGGGCUAAUACCGGAUAACAUUUUGAACCGCAUGGUUCGAAAUUGAAAGGCGGCUUCGGCUGUCACUUAUGGAUGGACCCGCGUCGCAUUAGCUAGUUGGUGAGGUAACGGCUCACCAAGGCAACGAUGCGUAGCCGACCUGAGAGGGUGAUCGGCCACACUGGGACUGAGACACGGCCCAGACUCCUACGGGAGGCAGCAGUAGGGAAUCUUCCGCAAUGGACGAAAGUCUGACGGAGCAACGCCGCGUGAGUGAUGAAGGCUUUCGGGUCGUAAAACUCUGUUGUUAGGGAAGAACAAGUGCUAGUUGAAUAAGCUGGCACCUUGACGGUACCUAACCAGAAAGCCACGGCUAACUACGUGCCAGCAGCCGCGGUAAUACGUAGGUGGCAAGCGUUAUCCGGAAUUAUUGGGCGUAAAGCGCGCGCAGGUGGUUUCUUAAGUCUGAUGUGAAAGCCCACGGCUCAACCGUGGAGGGUCAUUGGAAACUGGGAGACUUGAGUGCAGAAGAGGAAAGUGGAAUUCCAUGUGUAGCGGUGAAAUGCGUAGAGAUAUGGAGGAACACCAGUGGCGAAGGCGACUUUCUGGUCUG
rnacentral:rRNA from 1 species